UCAAAAUGGCAGCUCUUACUUGAAUAGAAUAUACCUUAGACUUUGGAGGUUUGAGAGUUUGCACAAAUAGCUAUAUCCCUUGCUUCUCCCCCAACCCAUGGAGAUUUGGUUAUAUAUAAAUAGCAAGAAGGAAAAAAAGGACAAGUUGCCAUGGCAAUGUGUGAUGGUUAUAUGUAUCAAAUGUGGGUUUACAUUCAGUGGUCUCUACUGUUCUUGAAACCAGCCAAUCUUUGCCGUUGUGGCUAAGUGGCAUUGUGUUACGGAGCUGGAAGCAAAGUUAUCAGAGACCCAGAAGACCCUCCUCUCUUGUCUCUUAAUUGCAAUAUCCUUGGUUCAUUGAGGAACAGGGAUUGCCAGAAAGAGUGGACUAACAUUUUAAGAAGGAGCAGCAAACCAAAUCAGGGAGAAAAGCAUGGAGACAGCAUAAAGUUGUUAUUUCACAUAUUAUUUCUCACCUUCAAAGAAAUUUUGGGAGUUAGAAAUGAACAUAUCUGCAAAGAUCAGUUGUAUUAGUUACCUAUUUGCUGUGUUAGAAUAAUCCCAAAACUUAUCAGCGUCAUCGCAUAUACUAUCUGUUGAUCAAGAAUUCAGGAGCAUCUUUGGUUGGAUUGUUAUUGUUCAGGGUUUCUCCUGAAGUUAUAGCCAAAAUGUUGUCCAGAGUUGCAGCCAUCUGAAGACUUGUGGGAGCUAGAGGAUCUUCUUCAAAGAUGGCUCAUUCCCAUGGCUGCAAAUAUUCCUGGCCAUUGGCCAGAGGCUUCAGUUCCUUAUUAAGUGGGCUUCUCUAUAGAUGCUGCCUAAGAAUUUUCAUGAUAUGGUGGCUGGCUUUCCACAGAGUGAGUGAUCCAAAGUGAUAUCUUUUCCAACUUGCCUUAGAGGUCACACAAUGUCACUUCUGCCAUAUUCUGUUGGUCUUAGCUGUAUCUCUGAUACAACAUGGGAAAGGACUACACAAAGGUAUGAAUGCCAGAAGAUUAGGAUCUUCUGGAGAUGGAGACCAUCUUUCAGUCUGGCUACCACACCGAUAUUCACUGAAGGCCAAAAGACUCUUUCUGUUAAUAUCUGUUAAGCCUCCUAGGACCCUUACAUGACUAUUAAAAGGAAAGAAGAUACGCCCAAAAUAAGUGAGAUUAAAUGAUUGACUCACCUGGU